UUUCCGUAGGUGGACCUGCGGAAGGAUCAUUAUUGAGUGAACCACUUCUGGCUUUCUGCUGUUGUGCUGGCCCUUUGGGCAAUGUACACACGGCUCUGGGCACUUGUUUCUUCUGUUCCACCUGCGCACUGCCUGUAGACACGCUGUGUCUAUGAUAUUUGUUAACACACAACAAUGUUAGUUGGCAUGUUAUAUAUAAUAAUAAAAUAUACAACUUUCAACAACGGAUCUCUUGGCUCCC
rnacentral:misc_RNA from 1 species